rnacentral:rRNA from 1 species
GACGAACGCUGGCGGCGUGCUUAACACAUGCAAGUCGAACGGUAAGGCCCUUCGGGGUACACGAGUGGCGAACGGGUGAGUAACACGUGGGUGAUCUGCCCUGCACUUCGGGAUAAGCCUGGGUAACUGGGUCUAAUACCGGAUAGGACCACUGCCUGCAUGGGUGGUGGUGGAAAGCUUUUGCGGUGUGGGAUGGGCCCGCGGCCUAUCAGCUUGUUGGUGGGGUGAUUGCCUACCAAGGCGACGACGGGUAGCCGGCCUGAGAGGGUGACCGGCCACACUGGGACUGAGAUACGGCCCAGACUCCUACGGGAGGCAGCAGUGGGGAAUAUUGCACAAUGGGCGCAAGCCUGAUGCAGCGACGCCGCGUGAGGGAUGACGGCCUUCGGGUUGUAAACCUCUUUCAGCACCGACGAAGCGCAAGUGGCGGUAGGUGCAGAAGAAGGACCGGCCAACUACGUGCCAGCCGCCGCGGUAA